CAUAAAUGGGUUAAAGUGAUUUGAGAGAAACCAAAGAGAAUCAAACGAGUUAGACAUUGAUCUAUGGAGCUUUCCCACAUUUCUUGGUUUGCUGAGUACUAUUGGUUGACAAAUUGGAUGAGACUAGUAGUGCGAAGGGUUGUGUUAUCUCUAGCUUGAGUCGGGUUACUGGUAAACUUCUUGAGUGCAGUUUGUGUGCUGCACAUAGGGAUAAUAAUAGUUCACAUGACACUGCAUUUCUGUUUUCUUUCAAAGCCAACCUUUGAUGAAGACGUGGGGAGGGGUCUGUUGUUUUGCACAUGUCACUUGUAUAAUUGAUCGGACGUCCACGCGGACUCAUUAAAACAAGUACGGGCCUCUGAGAUAAGGACAUAUACUAAGACGCUUUGGGCACAUACUGGUCACACGCCUUGGAGACCCGACCAUGGCGCUGCUUACACAUACGUGGCUGGUGUUGUGGAUUGCCACUCUAUCAACGCAACAGAUCAGUGGCGCCACGCUCUGGAGCUGGAACCAUGAAAGCCAGAACAAAGACAUAAAUUGUAGUCCUUAGGGACGGGUUUCAUAUGACCGAUACCCAAGGGAAUUCGGGAUCGGAGCAGACGAC